rnacentral:lncRNA from 1 species
CAUGUUUGUAAUUAGCAGCAGUAAUUUGAGGCUUCAGACAGUGCUCAUUACUGUGGCCAGAGAGGCAGGUGCACUUAGCCUCAGUUUAUUCAAAAUUAAUUUAAUCAGCAUUUAUCCACCUGAAUCACCACGAAGACAACUUUUAACCAUAAUGAUGUAAGGAGUAGCAGGAAAGCCACAGGUCUUGGCAUGAGGGCAGCUGUGCCAGCUGGAAAGGGGAAGGAGCAGCCUGUGAAUCUGAAAAAGUGCUGUCCCGAAGUAAAGUAAUUCAUGUGAUAGGAAGGAGUUUACGGUUUUCCUUUUUCUUGUGAGUUUAGACAUUAAAAAUACUGGCAGUCACUAGACUUUCUGUAAGAGGUGAGACCUGGCAUGACACAAAAGCAAAUGAUUAAUAUAUGAUGGGAAGGAACAAUGUAGAGAAAUUAGGGAAAAGUGUCUGAUUCUCCAUUAACAACUUAAUACUUCUGACUUAAAUCUUGUUAUAUGGCUUACAGACAGUUCUCUGACCACUUACAGCUGUUUUCAGAUGAGAUUUGCUAGAUGCUUUCCAAGUUUUAGUCUCACUGCAGGGAGUGAUUCUUGCUACCCUGGAGAUCUCAGUUAGACCAGUUGGUUCAUGGUAGGUGCAGGCACAUGAACUAGGUUCCAGAAGAAAAAGCAUCUUUACGUUUCAGCAUCCUGAAAGGAUGUGUUAUUUCAGAUUUCUGAAUACAGAGAAAUAAAUAAAUUCUAUUAUGAGAAGUUCAGAAAAGUUGUCUCCACAGGCGCCCUGGAGGAACAACAACAUCAGUUUUAUGAGCAGGGAAGCUGCUGUCACAGAACAAGGAGAGACCAUUAUAGGCUUCUACCUACUGGCUUUAGGAGAGAAGUUUUUUGUUUCCUCAGCCAAUCUUUUAGUCAGCUUUCUGGGUGCACUUUUUGUACUGGCUGGCAGACAGCGAGUUGAUAAAGGGUUUUGCUCAUAGAUCUUUGGUUCCUGACUUCCAUCACUUGCUGAGCAUCCCUGCUGUUCCUCCUCUGCAAGUCAUGGGAAACAGCACCAACCCCUUCGUGUGGAGAGUGUUGACACCCAUGGACUAAAAUCUCCCCCAGGCUGUAUUAUUCCAGGAGAAAUGUUACUGUUGAAUUCUAUAAAGGCAAAACAUUGUUUUUUAAUAUUGCUUUCCAUCCUGUUCCUCCUACUUUCCAAUAUUUGCAAAUAUGAAUAGCAACCGUAUUAGUGUGGCUUGAGAAAAGCUCUACUCAGCGCUGUCCUAAGGAGUAAAGGUUACCCCAUAGCUGUUCAGUAUUCA